rnacentral:pre_miRNA from 1 species
GAUCGUUGGAUGAGUGUGAGGCGUUGGAUUGAUUUUACUUAAUUCGAGCCUCACAUUCAUCAGAGGCUCGU